ACAGCAGCCGCCGCGGUAAUACGAAGGGUGCAAGCGUUAAUCGGAAUUACUGGGCGUAAAGCGUGCGUAGGCGGUGAGUUAAGUCUGCUGUGAAAUCCCCGGGCUCAACCUGGGAAUGGCAGUGGAUACUGGCUCGCUAGAGUGUGUCAGAGGAUGGUGGAAUUCCCGGUGUAGCGGCGAAAUGCGUAGAGAUCGGGAGGAACAUCAGUGGCGAAGGCGGCCAUCUGGGACAACACUGACGCUGAGGCACGAAAGCGUGGGGAGCAAACAGGAUUAGAUACCCCCGUAGUCCCUGUCUCUUAUAC
rnacentral:rRNA from 1 species